UACAGAGGUCCCAAGCGUUGUUCGGAUUCACUGGGCGUAAAGGGUGCGUAGGUGGUCAGGUAAGUCUGAUGUGAAAGCUCUGGGCUCAACCCAGAAAUGGCAUUGGAUACUAUUUGGCUAGAGGAAUGGAGGGGGGACUGGAAUACUUGGUGUAGCAGUGAAAUGCGUAGAUAUCAAGUGGAACACCAGUGGCGAAGGCGAGUCCCUGGACAUUUCCUGACACUGAGGCACGAAAGCUAGGGGAGCAAACAGG
rnacentral:rRNA from 1 species